UGUAGUUGUGCUAUUUUCUUUUUUUCUUUAAACAAUCAUAAACCAAUCUACCAAAAUUUUCAUUUCUUUUAUUAACUUAAAAUCUUUUCUCCAAUUCAACCUUUUACUUUUUUUUUUUAAACCCAAAUAACUUUGUACGAUGCAAAAAGAUUUAGAUCGUAAGUCCAAGCUCCAAUGGGUUUGUUGAUUCUAGAAUCUUGCCGGGAGCAGCCACAUUUCCAGUAGGUUGAGCAACGCCAUUGGAAAUAAUGAUUUCUUCAGGUACACCGGCAGGGGAAAUCUUCCAAUGCUUAUAUUCACGACGUUCUUCAAUAUAAUCAAACGCGUAUUCACCUAUUUGAUCAGCAUCCACACCAAUUUCUUCAGCAUCAGGGCUCACUCGAAGUUGAAGGUAGGGAAUUUUGUCCGUAAUGAAUAAAAUGAUAAACGUGACAACAAAGUCGUAUGCACCAACAGCACAAAUAUAGGCCAUUUGCAAGCCUAGUUGGCGCCAAUGGUGAUCAAACCAACCACCUCUGAUUUUGUUUUCACCAACAUAAAUACCAUCCAUUGCUGCGAUAUAAUCAACGGCAAACAAACCAUUCAAAAAGGUACCCACAAAACCCGCAACACCGUGGAUAGCGAAAAUAUCCAUCGCAUCAUCAAUGCGCAUAUGUGACUUUAACUUAAUGGCCCAAUUGCAACAUAAGCCAGUAAUAGCACCAAUUGCCAAAGAGGCAUGAGGACUCACAAAACCAGCACAAGGCGUUGCAGCCACCAAACCGGCAACAACCCCGGAACAAAAACCUAUGGUUGACCAUUUCCUAGUGCGAAAAAUGUAGUCGUAAAUAACCCAUACUAAACCAGCUACAGCACCUGCUAAGUUUGUGUUGGUGAUUGCCAUAGCGGCUCGCAGAUUGGAGCCGUAAGCACUACCACCGUUGAAACCAAGCCAACCAAACCAUAGCAGAGAUGUUCCCAAUACAACAUUGAGCACAGAAUGAGGGCGAAAUUGUUCCUCAACAAAUUUGGAUCGACGUCCUAAACAAACCGUAUACGCCAAAGCUGCAAAUCCUGAUCCAACUUCUACAGGUCCUCCGCCAGCGAAAUCGUAUACACCAAAUUUAAAAGCCCAACCAUUUGGAUUCCAAAUCCAACACGCUAUGGGACAAUAAACGACAGUGAGCCACACAAAUGUGAUGAUGAGCAUUGGACCAAUACGACCUCUUUCAGCGGCGGCACCAGUGAAGAGGGCUACAGUAAUUGCGGCGAACAUUCCUUGAAAAUUUGCAAAUACAAGCUCGGGAAUAUUAUUGCUACCAGGAGAGUAAUCGGCAAGUGUGCGAAUAAAGGCAAAAUGACGAAGAUUGCCAAUAUAACCAGAGGUUCCAGUUUGAGAAAAAGCAAGAGAAUAACCCCAGAAAUACCAUUGGAAAAAACUAACACAUAAACCAAGCAUAGAGAGCAUGAUAAGAGCCAAUGUAUUUUUCCUUCUUGCUAAGCCAGAGUAGAAAAAAGCCACACCAGGCACCAUAAUAAGACACAAUGGAGUACAAGCUAAAAUCCAACUAGUGUUUCCAUAAUCAUAAAAUUUAUUAAGAUCUUCGUGCAAAACAUUUC